rnacentral:siRNA from 1 species
CCGAAAGGGAUGUAUCAGCCCUAU